CAGCAACUGGAUGCGCUUUGUAAACUAUGCCCCGUCUCCUUGGCAACAGAAUCUUGCCUCAUUCCAAAUUGGAAUGCAGAUUUACUUCUAUGCCAUGAAGGUUCUAAUGCCGGGGGAGGAGCUGCUGGUGGGGCGGAGCCUAGAACACGAGCAGCCAAUGAGCACCAGCCUCAGAACUGCCUGUCUAAAACAGCCACUUCCCACACACUCUCAUUCUCAGCAUAAAGAUGAAGUGAGGAGGAGAAAGCGAGGUCACACGGUCACUGAAAUCCUGGAUCUGGAUCGCUGGACUGAUCAUCACACAGAAACUCUUCCAAACCAACCGUUUAACUCCAUCACACAAACGAAAUAUGGGGAAAAAGGGACCAGAGACCUGCAGAAUCCAAAAUUACCUCCAUUUUUAAUGACUAAUGCCACCUCUGAGGUCUCUUUAAACUUGAAAAUGGCAUCUAGUGUAGGGAAGCAUGUAUACACCUCUGCUAUCCCACAAUCCUCUAUGCCAGUGUAUACAUGGCCUGUUAUUCGAUACAUGCCGUCACAUCAGCCAGUGGGAUUUGGCCGAACAACACCACACAUGUGCCAUAAUAUUCCACCAAUCCACAUGUAUCCAUCUCUCUUGCAUCCAACAUCCAAUGAUAAUCAUCUGUCAUUAGAGUUGAUCAAUAGAGGCGACCCCGUAAUUAAAGUGACAGACUCUGUAAAGAGAGAAACGAAUCGUAAAGGCUCCACAAACCAACCGCCAGCCCUCACUAAAGCAACCGAUCCGUCUACGGCUGAAGUGUCCAGUGCUGAUGACAUCACAGCCCAGAGAGACUCACCUGAGAUGGGUGUGGCUUCCUCGGGUGUCUCCGCCUCCGCCCGUCACGGCACAGAGUCUCAGGCUGGCCAAAAGCGACAGAUUGUAGGUUACAAGGCUUUACCGUAUCCAUUACAGAGACAGAAUGGAAAGAUCCAGUAUGAGUGUAACGUGUGCGGAAAGAACUUCAGUCAACUGUCCAAUCUGAAGGUACAAGAUGAUGAUAUAUAAGGAAUUUGAUUAUUUUUAUCUAACAUUUUUAGAUUUUUUUUUUUAUUAUGGAAAAGGUAUUAAAAAUAAAAAUAUAUAUCAGGGUUAUUAUAAUUAACUAAAAAUAAAACCAUUUAAAAAAAAAAAAAAAAAAAAACAUUUUUCUUACUUAAAAUAAAAUAAACAUUAUCUAACAAAAUCUAACAAUUAUUUUUUGGUUUUUAUUUC
rnacentral:lncRNA from 1 species